rfam:Schistosoma rodhaini strain Burundi genome assembly, scaffold: SROB_scaffold0011239
AUCCAGCUGACGGGUCCCAAAUAGGAUGAGACGCGCGUCCUGGAU